UACGUAGGGUGCGAGCGUUGUCCGGAUUUAUUGGGCGUAAAGGGCUCGUAGGCGGCCUGUCGCGUCGGGGAGUGAAAGCCCACUGCUUAACGGUGGGUCUGCUUCCGAUACGGGCGAGCUAGAGUUCGGCAGGGGAGACUGGAAUUCCUGGUGUAGCGGUGGAAUGCGCAGAUAUCAGGAGGAACACCGGUGGCGAAGGCGGGUCUCUGGGCCGAUACUGACACUGAGAAGCGAAAAGCGUGGGGGAGCGAACAGG
rnacentral:rRNA from 1 species